rnacentral:rRNA from 1 species
UACGAAGGGGGGCUAGCGUUGCUCGGAUUGACUGGGCGUAAAGGGCGCGUAGGCGGUUCGUACAGUCAGACGUGAAAUUCCUGGGCUCAACCUGGGGGGCUGCAUUUGAUACGUUCGGACUAGAGUGGGGGAAGAGGGUCGUGGAAUUCCGCGUGUAGCAGUGAAAUGCGUAGAUAUGCGGAGGAACACCGAUGCGAAGGCAAUCCCCUGGGCCUGCACUGACGCUCAUGCACGAAAAGCGUGGGGGAGCAAACAGG